CAGGCGCUCCACGCGUGACGGAAGUGACGGCAACUUCCUCCAGGCGCGUGGUAGGGUGAGAGGAAAGGGACAAUCUUGGUGAGGACGGUGAUACCAGCGGGAGGAGGCGCUGUGGAGACUGAAGACCGGUGUCUGAAGCGAAAGCACUCCCUGGUGGCCCGCGGCUCUGGAGACAAACUGAUCACUCUGUCAUAGAAUGUUGGAAGAAUACCUGGCCCACGGUCAAAGACAAAAAUGCCCCUGGCCCGGUCCCAGAAUCAACUCCUCAAAAAUCCAGAUAA